rnacentral:rRNA from 1 species
UACAGAGGGGGCAAGCGUUGUUCGGAAUUACUGGGCGUAAAGGGCGCGUAGGCGGCCUUCUAAGUCGAACGUGAAAUCCCCGGGCUCAACCCGGGAACUGCGUCCGAUACUGGAAGGCUUGAAUCCGGGAGAGGGAUGUGGAAUUCCAGGUGUAGCGGUGAAAUGCGUAGAUAUCUGGAGGAACACCGGUGGCGAAGGCGACUACCUGGCCUGUUUCUUGACGCUGAGGCGCGAAAGCUAGGGGAGCAAACGGG